rnacentral:rRNA from 1 species
CACGUAGGGUGCGAGCGUUGUCCGGAAUUAUUGGGCGUAAAGAGCUCGUAGGCGGUGUGUCGCGUCGGCCGUGAAACUUGGGCUUAACUCUGAGCGUGCGGUCGAUACGGGCAUCACUUGAGUUCGGCAGGGAGACUGGAAUUCCUGGUGUAGCGGUGAAAUGCGCAGAUAUCAGGAGGAACACCGGUGGCGAAGGCGGGUCUCUGGGCCGGAUACUGACGCUGGAGGAGCGGAAAAGCCAUGGGGAGCGAACAGG